UAAACGAUGUCGAUUGGAGUUGUUGCUGGAGUGAUGGGCUCCGAAGCUAACGCGAUAAAUCGACCGCUGGGGAGUACGGCCGCAAGGUUAAAACUCAAAUGAAUUGACGGGGGCCCGCACAAGCGGUGGAGCAUGUGGUUUAAUUCGAUGCAACGCGAAGAACCUUACCUGGUCUUGACAUCCAUAGAAUUCUGCAGAGAUGUGGGGGUGCCUUCGGGAACUAUGAGACAGGUGCUGCAUGGCUGUCGUCAGCUCGUGUUGUGAAAUGUUGGGUUAAGUCCCGCAACGAGCGCAACCCUUAUUCUUUGUUGCCAGCGAUUUGGUCGGGAACUCAAAGGAGACUGCCGUUGAUAAAGCGGAGGAAGGUGGGGACGACGUCAAGUCAUCAUGGCCCUUACGACCAGGGCUACACACGUGCUACAAUGGCGUAUACAAAGGGAAGCGAAGGUGCGAGCUGGAGCGGAUCUCAUAAAGUACGUCUAAGUUCGGAUUGGAGUCUGCAACUCGACUCCAUGAAGUCGGAAUCGCUAGUAAUCGUAGAUCAGAAUGCUACGGUGAAUACGUUCCCGGGCCUUGUACACACCGCCCGUCACACCAUGGGAGUGGGUUGCACCAGAAGUAGAUAGCUUAACCGCGAGGGGGGCGUUUACCACGGUGUGAUUCAUGACUGGGGUGAAGUCGUAACAAGGUAACCA
rnacentral:rRNA from 1 species